rnacentral:rRNA from 1 species
UACGUAGGUGGCAAGCGUUGUCCGGAUUUACUGGGCGUAAAGGGCGCGUAGGCGGCAUGACAAGUCACUUGUGAAAUCUCCGGGCUUAACUCGGAACGGCCAAGUGAUACUGUCACGCUAGAGUGCAGAAAGGGCAAUCGGAAUUCUUGGUGUAGCGGUGAAAUGCGUAGAUAUCAUGAGGAAUACCAGAGGCGAAGGCGGCUACCUGGACAAUUGCUGACGCUCAGGCACGAAAGCGUGGGGAGCAAAAGGG